rnacentral:rRNA from 1 species
CCCUUAGAUGUUCUGGGCCGCACGCGCGCUACACUGAUGCAUUCAACAAGCCUAGCCUUGACCGAGAGGUCCGGGUAAUCUUUGAAACCGCAUCGUGAUGGGGCUAGAUUAUUGCAAUUAUUAAUCUUCAACGAGGAAUGCCUAGUAAGCGUGAUUCAUCAAAUCGCGUUGAUUACGUCCCUGCCCUUUGUACACACCGCCCGUCGCUCCUACCGAUUGAAUGUGUUGGUGAGGAGCUCGGAUUGGCAGCAGUUGGUGGUUCGCCACCGGCUAUUGCUGAGAAGUCCUCCAAACCGCCCCAUUUAGAGGAAGGAGAAGUCGUAACA